rnacentral:rRNA from 1 species
AUUGAACGCUGGCGGCAUGCUUUACACAUGCAAGUCGAACGGCAGCACGGGGGCAGCCCUGGUGGCGCGUGGCGCACGGGUGAGUAAUACAUCGGAACGUGCCCGGCCGCGGGGGAUUACGUAGCGAAAGUUAUGCUAAUACCGCAUACGAUCUGCGGAUGAAAGCGGGGGACCUUCGGGCCUCGCGCGAUCGGAGCGGCCGAUGUCAGAUUAGGUAGUUGGUGGGGUAAAGGCCUACCAAGCCGACGAUCUGUAGCUGGCCUGAGAGGACGACCAGCCACACUGGGACUGAGACACGGCCCAGACUCCUACGGGAGGCAGCAGUGGGGAAUUUUGGACAAUGGGCGCAAGCCUGAUCCAGCCAUUCCGCGUACAAGACGAAGGCCUUCGGGUUGUAAACUGCUUUUGUGCGGGACGAAAAGGCUCUGGCUAAUACCUGGGGCUCAUGACGGUACCGUAAGAAUAAGCACCGGCUAACUACGUG